UAGUGAAUUGAGUAUCACAUA
rnacentral:snRNA from 1 species